CAAGAUUAAGCCAUGCAUGUGUCAGUACAAACUAAAAAUAAGAGUGAAACCGCGAAUGGCUCAUUAAAUCAGCUAUGAUUCAUUGGAUCUGUACACCCAGUUUUCCUUGGAUAACUGUGGUAAUUCUAGAGCUAAUACAUGCACAUAUAGUCCCUAAACCUGCUCGUUGUAAUGAUGAGAGAGGGAAGGGCGCUUUUAUUAGUAUCAAAACCGGUCGGGCUUCGGUCUGUAAACCAAUUUGAUGACUCUGGAUAACUUUUAGCUGAGCGCACGGUCUUUUGCACUGGCGCCGCUUCUUUCAAGUGUCUGCCUUAUCAGCUUUCGAUUGUAUGUUAUGUGCUUACAAUGGCUAUAACGGGUAACGGGGAAUCAGGGUUCGAUUCCGGAGAGGGAGCCUGAGAAACGGCUACCACAUCUAAGGAAGGCAGCAGGCACGCAAAUUACCCACUCCCAGUACGGGGAGGUAGUGACGAAAAAUAACGAUGCGAGACUCAUCCGAGGCCUCGCAAUCGGAAUGAGUACACUUUAAAUCCUUUAACGAGGAUCAAUUGGAGGGCAAGUCUGGUGCCAGCAGCCGCGGUAAUUCCAGCUCCAAUGGCGUAUAUUAAAGUUGUUGCGGUUAAAAAGCUCGUAGUUGGAUUUCAGUAUUGGACUGAUGAGUUUUUUUUCACUGUCUGGUGAUUAAAACAGAAUCAAGCUUCAAAACCUGCUACCACAAUAAUUACAUUGUGUAUUGCUCAACUAGCUCACACGGGGUGCUCUUAAUCGAGUGUCCCGAGUGGCUGGUAUGUUUACUUUGAAAAAAUUAGAGUGCUCAGAGCAGGCUAAUAAUGGCCUGAAUGUCUAUGCAUGGAAUAAUAUAAGAGGACCUCGGUUUUAUGUUUUACCGCGUUUCUUUUGGAAACCCGAGGUAAUGAUUAACAGGACCAAAUGAGGGCAUUAGUACUGCGACGCUAGAGGUGAAAUUCUUGGACCGUCGCAAGACUAACUACAGCGAAGGCAUUGCCAAGGAUGCUUUUAUUGCUUUUAUUAAUCAAGAACGAAAGUUAGAGGUUCGAAGGCGAUCAGAUACCGCCCUAGUUCUAACCAUAAACGAUGCUAACCAGCGAUCCGCCGUUGUUAUUCCCAUGACUCGGCGGGCAGCUUCCGGGAAACCAAAGUGUUUGAGUUCCGGGGGAAGUAUGGUUGCAAAUCUGAAACUUAAAGGAAUUGACGGAAGGGCACCACCAGGAGUGGAGCCUGCGGCUUAAUUUGACUCAACACGGGAAACCUCACCAGGCCCAGACACUGGAAGGAUUGACAGAUUGAGAGCUCUUUCUCGAUUCAGUGGGUGGUGGUGCAUGGCCGUUCUUAGUUGGUGGAGCGAUUUGUCUGGUUAAUUCCGAUAACGAACGAGACUCUGGCCUAUUAACUAGUCGACGGAUUUCCAAACCAUGCAUUGGUGUCCAGUUCGCAACAUUAUCUUCUUAGAGGGAUAAGCGGUAGUCCUAGCCGCACGAGAAUGAGCAAUAACAGGUCUGUGAUGCCCUUAGAUGUUCUGGGCCGCACGCGCGCUACACUGAAGGGAUCAGAAUGUUUUCCCCCUCCGAAAGGAGCGGGUAACCCGAUGAAACCCCUUCGUGAUAGGGAUUGGGGCUUGUAAUUAUUUCCCAUGAACGAGGAAUUCCCAGUAAGCGCAGAUCAUGAGUUUGCGUUGAUUACGUCCCUGCCCUUUGUACACACCGCCCGUCGCUACUACCGAUUGAAUGAUUUAGUGAGGCCUUCGGACUGUCGCUCUUGGACAUUUGGCUUAAUGCUAGUGCCUAGAGCUGACGGAAAGAUGUCCAAACUUGAUCAUUUAGAGGAAGUAAAAGUCGUAACAAGGUUUCC
rnacentral:rRNA from 1 species